CGGGCACCUUCGGGUGUCAGUGGCAGACGGGUGAGUAACACGUGGGAACGUACCCUUCGGUUCGGAAUAACUCAGGGAAACUUGAGCUAAUACCGGAUACGCCCUUUUGGGGAAAGGUUUACUGCCGAAGGAUCGGCCCGCGUCUGAUUAGCUUGUUGGUGGGGUAACGGCCUACCAAGGCGACGAUCAGUAGCUGGUCUGAGAGGAUGAUCAGCCACACUGGGACUGAGACACGGCCCAG
rnacentral:rRNA from 1 species